AUUGAACGCUGGCGGCAUGCCUUACACAUGCAAGUCGAACGGUAACAGGUCUUCGGAUGCUGACGAGUGGCGAACGGGUGAGUAAUACAUCGGAACGUGCCUAGUAGUGGGGGAUAACUACUCGAAAGAGUGGCUAAUACCGCAUGAGAUCUACGGAUGAAAGCAGGGGAUCGCAAGACCUUGUGCUACUAGAGCGGCCGAUGGCAGAUUAGGUAGUUGGUGGGAUAAAAGCUUACCAAGCCGACGAUCUGUAGCUGGUCUGAGAGGACGAUCAGCAACACUGGGACGGAGAAACGGCCCAGACUCCUACGGGAGGCAGCAGUGGGGAAUUUUGGACAAUGGGCGCAAGCCUGAUCCAGCAAUGCCGCGUGCAGGAUGAAGGCCUUCGGGUUGUAAACUGCUUUUGUACGGAACGAAAAGCCCUGGGUUAAUACCCUGGGGUCAUGACGGUACCGUAAGAAUAAGCACCGGCUAACUACGUGCCAGCCGCCGCCGUAAUAC
rnacentral:rRNA from 1 species